UUCCAUAGCCUUCUUGGUAACAAGUAUGUCUCUCAAAAAAAAAUUAUUUUCUUCUGUCAUGCCUUAGCUAGCUAGUGUACCAUCUCUGAUAAAGUUCUAUCUUUUUGUUUCUGCUGUAAAGGUGGUCAAUCAUAGCAGGGAGACUACCUGGGAGAACAGAUAAUGAGAUCAAGAAUCAUUGGAAUACCCACAUAAAGAGGAAGCUACUGAGCAGAGGUAUUGACCCUUUGACACAUCGACCGGUCAAUGAACAAGCUGCAAUUCACACCAUAGAUACAGUCUCAUCAACAGCAAUUCUAAGAGAAGAUGAGAGACAAACGAACCAAGAAUUGAAUCUUGAGCUGCAGAUAAGUCCACCAUCGUUACAUUCACACCCACCGCAGGUAUUGCGGAAAAGAAACAGAAAAGUCAUUUGCUUCUACUGUAUCUUGGGGCUUCGAA
rnacentral:lncRNA from 1 species